UACGAAGGGGGCUAGCGUUGCUCGGAAUCACUGGGCGUAAAGCGCUCGUAGGCGGCUUCUUAAGUCAGGGGUGAAAUCCUGGAGCUCAUCUCCAGAACUGCCUUUGAUACUGGGAGGCUCGAGUCCGGGAGAGGUGAGUGGAACUGCGAGUGUAGGGGUGAAAUUCGUAGAUAUCAAGAGGAACACCUGAGGUGAAGACGGGUUGCUGGGCCGACACUGACGCUGACAGCGCGAAAGCCAGGGGAGCAAACGGG
rnacentral:rRNA from 1 species